GUCUGAAGGGUAGAGAAUAAAAGGAAUAAAAUGAGUAGAAUAAAAAAAAAUAUUACCCGCAUUUAUAAGCACAAUAUUAUCACUGUAAUUGGGUUUUUUCAUACAAUUGUCGCAAUUUUCUCAUGUUCUUUUCAAUCAAAGUCUGGGCAAAACAUCACACAAAGGCCAUUAUUGCAACAUGUAAUAACAUUGAGUGCUUCUUCGUAACGUAAACAAUCAUAGUCAGAAUCACAGGUACUUGACGGAAUUAUUACUGCAAUGUCAAAUAAGCAAAAAGAAUGUUAUUAAAAGGUUAUAAAAUUUUGUGAAUAAUAUAAAUUAAAAUUAAAAAAAAAUGGUGUGAAAAAUGACAUACCUUUUAGUGGUACAACAAGAGAUGGAGAAAAAAGGAUGAUCAAAGCAUAAAC
rnacentral:lncRNA from 1 species